rnacentral:rRNA from 1 species
UCGAGGAUCUUCGGCAAUGGGCGAAAGCCUGACCGAGCGACGCCGCGUGUGCGAUGAAGGCCUUCGGGUUGUAAAGCACUGUCGUGGGGGAGAAAAGCCGCGCAAGCGGCUUGAUCGACCCCAGGAGGAAGCUCGGGCUAAGUUCGUGCCAGCAGCCGCGGUGAGACGAACCGAGCGAACGUUGUUCGGAAUCACUGGGCUUAAAGGGCGCGUAGGCGGGCCAUCAAGUCAGGGGUGAAAGCCCCCGGCUCAACCGGGGAAGUGCCUCUGAUACUGGUGGUCUCGAGGGAGAUAGGGGCGUGCGGAACUUCCGGUGGAGCGGUGAAAUGCGUAGAUAUCGGAAGGAACACCGGUGGCGAAAGCGGCGCGCUGGAUCUCUGCUGACGCUGAGGCGCGAAAGCCAGGGGAGCGAACGG